AUCUAUCCCUAGUACGAGAGGACCGGGAUGGACGAACCUCUGGUGUGCCAGUUGUUCCGCCAGGAGCACGGCUGGUUAGCUACGUUCGGGAGUGAUAACCGCUGAAAGCAUCUAAGCGGGAAGCACGUUUCAAGAUGAGGUUUCCCACCGGGUAACCGGGUAAGGCCCCCAGUAGACGACUGGGUUGAUAGGCCGGAGGUCGAAGGUAGUAAUACACGGAGCCGACCGGUACUAAUAG
rnacentral:rRNA from 1 species